rnacentral:lncRNA from 1 species
UGCUUUUGCCCUUCAAAGCAGCAGAAAUAGAUAGUUGGAAUCUAUCAAUGAUAAUUUUCGUUGUUUUUGUUUUUCGAAUUUAAUGUGACCGGUCAUAACAAGUGGAGCAAAUGAGGACAUCAAAUACUGUGAAACAUCUAGAACAUGUGAAGAAGUGUUUGAAACAGUUUUGAAAGAAAUCAGAGAUGAAAUGAAUAUCCCAUUAGAAUGGGAUGUGCCUAUCCCAACCAAUACUUCUUGGCAUUGAUUACAAUCUUACUUGGAGGAGAUCAUUCCUAAAAUUUAUUGUUAGUGUAAAUAUUUGUGGCUUUUAGGUCAUGACUAGUGAAACAAAUCAAGAACCAUCUAGAAUAUGUGAAGAAGUAUUUGAUUCAGUUUUGAAAGAAAUCAGAGAUCUCAUUAGAAUCCCUCUCCCCACCGAUGUUUCUUGGAAUUGAUUACAAUCCAGAUACUUGGAUAAGAAUAUUGCCAGAAUUUAUUGUAAGGUAAUAACAGAAAUUUUUUCGUUUUAAUUUAAUGCCAAAUUUCACCUGGAAUA